GAUGAAGAACGUAGCGAAAUGCGAUAAGUAAUGUGAAUUGCAGAAUUCAGUGAAUCAUCGAAUCUUUGAACGCACAUUGCGCCCGCCAGUAUUCUGGCGGGCAUGCCUGUUCGAGCGUCAUUACAACCCUCAGGCCCCCGGGCCUGGCGUUGGGGAUCGGCGGAAGCCCCCUGCGGGCACAACGCCGUCCCCCAAAUACAGUGGCGGUCCCGCCGCAGCUUCCAUUGCGUAGUAGCUAACACCUCGCAACUGGAGAGCGGCGCGGCCACGCCAUAAAACACCCAACUUCUGAAUGUUGACCUCGAAUCAGGUAGGAAUACCCGCUGAACUUAAGCAUAUCAAUAAGCGGAGGA
rnacentral:misc_RNA from 1 species